rnacentral:rRNA from 1 species
AGCAGCCGCGGUAAUUCCAGCUCCAAUAGCGUAUAUUAAAGUUGUUGCAGUUAAAAAGCUCGUAGUUGAAUUUCGGGAUCAAUAUAUCGGUCGUGCCUUUGGUACGUACUGGUAUCAUUGAUUUCUCCCUUCUGACGAAUCAUGAUGUCAUUAAUUUGGUGUUAUGAGGAGUUAGGACUGUUACUUUGAAAAAAAUUGAGUGUUUAAAGCAGGCUCACGCUUGAAUACAUUAGCAUGGAAUAAUGAAAUAGGACGUUCGAUCCUAUUUUGUGGUUUUUAGGAUCAACGUAAUGAUUAAUAGGGAUAGUUGGGGGCAUUAGUAUUCAAUUGUCAGAGGUGAAAUUCUUGGAUUUAUUGAAGACUAACUACUGCGAAAGCAUUUGCCAAGGAUGUUUUCAUUAAUCAAGAACGAAAGUUAGGGGAUCGAAGACGAUCAGAUCCGUCGUAGUCUUAACCAUAAACUAUGACCGACUAGGGAUCGGAUGAUGUUAAUUUUUAANGUACU